GGCCGCAUCUGCAGCACAUGGAAGUUCCUUGGCUAGGGGUCUAAUUGAAGGUACAGCUGCCAGCCUGCACCAUAGCUCACCGCAACCCGGGCUUCCUAACCCACUGAGCAAGGCCAGGGAUGGAACCCACAUCCUCAUAGAUACUAAUCGUGCUAAUUACCUCGGAGCCACAGUGGGAACUUCCUGGGGGAGGGGUCUUAAACAUUACCCCCCCCCAGCCGCCGCCCAGUUCCACGCAAACUGCGCACAGGUGGGAGCCUCUCUUUUUCAAUGUCAAGAAAGUCACCAGGAACCUGCACCUGACAUGCCUAACCCAUAAAUGCGCACCAGAGGGCAGUAUAAACCAAGACAUGGGAAACAAAAUGUGGCGGGCGAUUACUGCUGCCUUCAGGCUGAGACGUCUAAGGGCCUCAUACAAAGAGGGCGCUGGGGCUAUGGGCAUUGAGUGGACUACAGAUGCACCGCCGUUUUGAAAUCCUUCAUUGGUAGGCAGAGGGGCAAAGAUGGAUGAGAGGGAGCCUUAGUACCUUAGAACCCACUAUUACCACCAGUCCCAAAUCCUCAAAGGGCCUCCACAUCAGCUCAGUUCAGGAAAGAGUUACCAAGAACCUCUUAUGUGCUAGGUGCUGUUCCAGGGAUUCCAUACGCAGUAACACCUAGUCCCUUCCCCAGUAGAGCACCUAUAAUAGGUCAAUGUCUUUACAUUCAUUAUCGUUAUUUAAUUCUUAUGACAGUAAAGUGCUGUAAGAAGAAUCAUCCCGGGUGUUCCCUUCAUGGCUCAGUGGCAACGAACCUGACUAGUAUCCAUGAGGAUGUGGGUUUGAUCCCUGGCCUCACUCAGUGGGUUAAGGAUCCGGCAUUGGCGUGAGCUGUGGUGUAGGUCGCAGAUGUGGCUCAGAUCCCGCGUUGUUGUAGCUGUGGUAUAGGCCAGCAGCUGCAGUUCCAAUUCAACCCCUAGCCUGGGAACUUCCAUGUGCCAUGGGUGAGACCCUAAAAAAAGUCUUUCUAGAUUCAGAGCUGGGGCCCUCACCCCUGUGAGUCUUGUUAGCACGUGCUCUUGGUAAGGAGAUCCCUUUAUGAUCUUAGUACCAGCUGGGCUGGCUCCAUUCUCUUCACAGGCGGCCACACUGCCCAGGAAAGGCCCAGGUGUCCCCCGAAGCUCUUGGCUUGGAUUUCAGAGUAGCAUUGUUUUUAAAUGCCUAAGAUUCUUUUUUUUUUUACCUUUUAGGGCCUCACCUGUGGCAUAUAUGGAAAGUCCCAAGCUAGGGGUCAAAUUGGAGCUGUAGCAGCUGGCCUACACCACAGCUACAGCAAUGUGGGAUCCGAGCCACAUCUGCAACUUACACCAUAGCUCACAGCAAUGCCAGAUGCUUAACCCACUGAGCAAAGCCAGGGAAUGAACCUGCAUUCUCAUGGAUUCUAGUCAGAUUUGUUUCCACUGUGCCAUGAAGGGAACUCCCCUAAGAUUUUAAAAUAUAUUUAACAUGAAGUUUGCAUUGUGGUUCAGUGGGUUAAGAACCUGACAUAUUGUCCAUGAGGAUAUGGGUUC
rnacentral:lncRNA from 1 species